UUGGGGAAUUUGACAAUGGGCGAAAGCCUGAUCCAGCAAUGCCGCGUGUGUGAAGAAGGCCUUCGGGUUGUAAAGCACUUUUGUCCGGAAAGAAAUCCUUGGCUCUAAUACAGUCGGGGGAUGACGGUACCGGAAGAAUAAGCACCGGCUAACUACGUGCCAGCAGCCGCGGUAAUACGUAGGGUGCAAGCGUUAAUCGGAAUUACUGGGCGUAAAGCGUGCGCAGGCGGUUUGCUAAGACCGAUGUGAAAUCCCCGGGCUCAACCUGGGAACUGCAUUGGUGACUGGCAGGCUAGAGUAUGGCAGAGGGGGGUAGAAUUCCACGUGUAGCAGUGAAAUGCGUAGAGAUGUGGAGGAAUACCGAUGGCGAAGGCAGCCCCCUGGGCCAAUACUGACGCUCAUGCACGAAAAGCGUGGGGAGCAAAACAGGAUUAGAUACCCUGGUAGUCCACGCCCUAAACGAUGUCAACUAGUUGUUGGGGAUUCAUUUCCUUAGUAACGUAGCUAACGCGUGAAGUUGACCGCCUGGGGAGUACGGUCGCAAGAUUAAAACUCAAAUGGAAUUG
rnacentral:rRNA from 1 species